rnacentral:rRNA from 1 species
UGGGGAAUAUUGGACAAUGGGCGAAAGCCUGAUCCAGCCAUGCCGCGUGAGUGACGAAGGCCUUAGGGUUGUAAAACUCUUUCGUCGGGGACGAUAAUGACGGUACCCGAAGAAGAAGCUCCGGCUAACUUCGUGCCAGCAGCCGCGGUAAUACGAAGGGAGCUAGCGUUGUUCGGAAUCACUGGGCGUAAAGCGCACGUAGGCGGAUAGUUAAGUCAGGGGUGAAAUCCUGGGGCUCAACCCCAGAACUGCCUUUGAUACUGGCUGUCUCGAGGUCGAGAGAGGUUGGUGGAAUUCCUAGUGUAGAGGUGAAAUUCGUAGAUAUUAGGAAGAACACCAGUGGCGAAGGCGGCCAACUGGCUCGAUACUGACGCUGAGGUGCGAAAGCGUGGGGGGCAAACAGGAUUAGAUACCCCGGUAGUCCCUGAGCGGGCUGGCAAGGCGCAU